CCCUUAGAUGUUCUGGGCCGCACGCGCGCUACACUGACGAUGGCAACGAGUUUUUCCUUCGCCGAAAGGUGUGGGUAAUCUUUUGAAACAUCGUCGUGCUGGGGAUAGAUCAUUGCAAUUUUUGAUCUUGAACGAGGAAUUCCUAGUAAGCGCGAGUCAUCAGCUCGCGUUGAUUACGUCCCUGCCCUUUGUACACACCGCCCGUCGCUACUACCGAUUGAAUGGUUUAGUGAGGACUCCUGAUUGGCGCCGCCGCCCCGGCAACGGAGCAGCGGACUGCCGAAACGUUGUUCAAACUUGAUCAUUUAGAGGAAGUAAAAGUCGUAACA
rnacentral:rRNA from 1 species